GAGCGGAGUCCCAGGUGGCGGGCGCCCCGGUGUUGGUCGUGGACGCCCACCGAGCCCGCUGGCUUCACCGCUGACCUGAGGUCCCACGCGGCGGCCAGGCCUUCCCCUGCUAAACUUCAAGGCAGGAAAUCUUGUGCCGUGUCACAUUGAGCACCUCCAGCUGUGAUGGUGCCAGUGGAGUCAUAAAUUUGAGAUGACGGUAAGAGAAAAAAGACAAUCUGUCCGGGGCGGAGAGACAGGUGCUGCAAUGGACAAAAACCCGGACAAACACAUUUUCCAGCAGAGAGGAAAAGAGACAUUUCAAGCAGAGGAGACCACAUACGUGCAUAGAUGUCUGAAAGGUUAUGGUGUGCGUGAAGAACUGUAAGACACUCCAAGUGGAGAAUAAAAAGUGGAGAAAAGCAGCAGAUGUGGCUGAAGUGUGCAAUUACUCAGACUAUGGAUUGAAUGUAAUAAUUCAUACUAUAUGCAGGAAACAGCAUAAGUGAGUUUUGUGGAGGCUCAAACCCCAGACUGUGUUUCUGCAUAUUAGGUGCUCAGUAAAGUCUUAAGCUUCUAGUAGAGUCUAGGUGCCUGUACCAUGGGAAUGCUUAACAUUUCUGGCCUCAGCCUGCACCCUUGGAGGUGGGGAGGGCCCUGUUAAGUGGCAUCAGAGAAUCACCUCACUCUCUCUCUUGGGCUGGAGGACCCUCAGCUGGUAGUGUCUCUUCCCCACCCAACGGUCCACCAAGGGGCAGGACAAGUGCCAUCAGCUGUAGCGUGGCUACUUCUCCUUAUGCUAACUUCCCCACCUUUCCUGAAUUCCCCUGGGAGAUUUAGGUUAUUCUUUUCCUAAAGCAUUUCACGUGUG